AGUGAACGCUGGCGGUAGGCCUAACACAUGCAAGUCGAACGGCAGCACAGUAAGAGCUUGCUCUUACGGGUGGCGAGUGGCGGACGGGUGAGGAAUACAUCGGAAUCUACUUUUUCGUGGGGGAUAACGUAGGGAAACUUACGCUAAUACCGCAUACGACCUACGGGUGAAAGCAGGGGAUCUUCGGACCUUGCGCGAUUGAAUGAGCCGAUGUCGGAUUAGCUAGUUGGCGGGGUAAAGGCCCACCAAGGCGACGAUCCGUAGCUGGUCUGAGAGGAUGAUCAGCCACACUGGAACUGGGACACGGUCCAGAAUCCUACGGGAGGCAGCAGUGGGGAAUAUUGGACAAUUGGCGCAAGCCUGAUCCAGCCAUACCGCGUGGGUGAAGAAGGCCUUCGGGUUGUAAAGCCCUUUUGUUGGGAAAGAAAAGCAGCAGGUUAAUACCCCGCUGUUCUGACGGUACCCAAAGAAUAAGCACCGGCUAACUUCGUG
rnacentral:rRNA from 1 species